rnacentral:rRNA from 1 species
UAGCGUAGGGUGCAAGCGUUAAUCGGAAUUACUGGGCGUAAAGCGUGCGCAGGCGGUUUAUGUGAAGAACAGUUCGUGGAAUCCCCGGACCUCAACCUGGGAACUGCAUCUGUGACUGCAUAGCUAGAGUACGGUAGAGGGGAUGAAUUCCGCGUGUAGCAGUGAAAUGCGUAGAGUAUGCGGAGGAACACCGAUGGCGAAGGCAAUCCCCUGGACCUGUGACAUGACGCUCAUGCACGAAAGCGUGGGGAGCAAACAGGAUU